rnacentral:rRNA from 1 species
CUUAGUUAAUUCUGCUAGUAGUUAUAUAUUUAUCUUAAAGAUUAAGCUAUGUAUAUCUAAGUAUAAGUAAUUAUAUAGCGAAACUGUGAAUAGCUUAUUAUAUAAGUUAUUGUUUAUUUGAUAGUAUCUUACUAUUUAGAUAAUUAUGGUAAUUCUAAAGCUAAUAUAUGCUAAAAAUCCCGACUUCGGAAGGGAUAUAUUUAUUAAAUUAAAAAUUAAUACCCUUCGAGGCUUACUAGUGAUUUAUAAUAACUUCUCGAAUUGUAUAGUUUUAUGCUAGUGAUGGUUUAUUUAAAUUUCUUCCCUAUUAACUUUUAAUACUAGAGUAGUGUUCUAGUAUAGUUAUAAUAAGUAACGGAGGGUUAGGGUUCGACUCUGGAGAAGGAGCUUAAGAAAUAGCUACUAUAUCUAAGGAAAGCAGUAGGCGCGUAAAUUACCUAAUUCUAACACAGGGAGGUAGUGAUGAUAAAUACUAAUAUAGAGCUUUUUUAGGUUUUGUAAUUAGAAUAAGUAUAAUUUAAAUUCCUUAAUGAGGAAUAAUUAGAGGGUAAGUCUAAUGCUAGUAGCUGUGGUAAUUCCAGCUUUAAUAGUAUAUAUUAAAGUUAUUAUGGUUAAAAAGUUUGUAGUAGAAUUUUAGGUCUGGCUGGCCGGUCCGCCUCACUGUGUGUAUUAGUCUAGCUGGGCUUUUCCCUCUAUGGAACUAUAUACCUUUCACUGGGUAUGCUAGGGAAAUAGGACUUUUACUUUGAAAAAAUUAGAGUGCUCCAGGUAGGCUUAUACUCGAAUAUAUUAGUAUAAAAUAAUAGAAUAGGAUGUAUGAUUCUAUUUUAUUAGUUUCUAGGAUUGCCGUAAUAAUUAAUAGGGAUAGUUGGGGGUAUUAGUAUUUAAUUAUCAGAAGUGAAAUUCUUAGAUUUAUUGAAGACUAACUACUAUGAAAGUAUUUACUAAGGAUGUUUUUAUUUAUUAGGAAUGAAAGUUAGGAGAUUGAAGAUGAUUAAAUACUAUUGUAGUCUUAACUAUAAACUAUGCUAACUAGGGAUUGGACGAUGUUAUUUUUUGAUUCGUUUGGCACCUUACGAGAAAUUAAAGUGUUUAGGCUUCAGGGGGAGUAUGGUUGUAAGGCUGAAACUUAAAGAAAUUGACGGAAGGGUACCACUAGAAGUAAAUAGUAGCUAUUUAAGUUUUACUCCAGAUAGUGAGCCUGUAAAGGGUUUAGUAGCUAGCUCCAAAUUGCUAGUUACUCCAGUAGUAGCGAUAUCCCCCAAUUAUGGGAAACCCUUGGAGGGUGGCACUCCUAAGUAGCAUUUAAAAGAGACGCUGUAGUAGCAGCGUAACGGCCGCUAGUAUGGGGAUAAUGUGCUACUUAUGAGGCAACUCGCAGCUAAGCUUCUAACUAUGGGGAAGGUUUAGAGACUCAAUAGGGAUGGGUGGCGCCCCCGGGCGCCGCUUAAGAUAGAGUCUAUACCCACUCGAGAGAGCGGAGACUAACUAGUAUAUUAUCUAAAAAGGGAGCCUGCAGCUUAAUUUAACUUAACAUAGAGAAACUUACUAGAUUCAGAUAUAAUAAGGAUUAACAGAUUGAGAGUUUUUUCUUAAUUUUGUAAGUAGUGGUGUAUAGCUAUUCUUAGUUAGUGGAGUGAUUUAUCUGCUUAAUUAUGAUAACAAAUGAGAUUUUAACCUACUAAAUAGCCUAUAUUACUUUAGCAGUAUACUGGCUUCUUAGAGGGACUAUCAGCUUAAGCUGAUAGAAGUUUGAAGUAAUAAUAG